UACGUAGGGUGCGAGCGUUAAUCGGAAUUACUGGGCGUAAAGGGCGCGUAGGCGGACAGUUAAGUUGGAGGUGAAAGCCCGGGGCUCAACCUCGGAAUUGCCUUCAGUACUGGCUGUCUUGAGUGUGAGAGAGGUGUGUGGAACUCCGAGUGUAGAGGUGAAAUUCGUAGAUAUUGGGAAGAACACCGGUGGCGAAGGCGGCUCACUGGCUCGUAACUGACGCCCAUGCACGACAGCGUGGGGAUCAAACAGG
rnacentral:rRNA from 1 species